GUGAGAGCUGUGGCGGAGGGAUAUGCAGAUACACGGCGAGCAGAGGAAUGCACAACAGACCCACGUGAAGCCACCACUCCCUGCUGACACGACGGACCGCUCCGCACUCACUCUUAUUCUGCUGCAGACAGGAAUUAAGCAGGAUUUGCAGUAAAGCUUGACUGGCUCUUCCUCACAUCGCUCUGUGAUGGACUGGGUGUUUUCCUGCUUUGGGUCGGAGACUCUGGGACAGACUCCAGCAUCUCCUCACAGGAUCCUACAGGAGAAGCGGUUUGGAGAAUGAAUGGAUGGAGAACAGGCAUGAGACCAGAUCAAUGUGCUAAUGUGCUCUCCCUUGUGGACAAUAAGUGUAUCUGCAUUAAUACAUGAAAACAGCAGGAGGAAAGAGAUUGUCUAAUCCUGCUCCUGGUGAGCCACUGUCCUGAUUUUAGCUCCAACCCUGAUGAAAAACAGCUGAAGCAAAAACUCCUUCACACCACAAAUCCAGUGGUUCAGGCUAUAAAGUGCUGCGCUUCAAUCACAGAGUCUUGAGUUCAAAUCCUACUGUUAUUUAAUUUGGAUAAAACCUAACAACAAGUUGUUGCAAACCUUGUGGCUCAUAAUAUUGUGUUUUGUCUUUGGGUUCAAAUCUCACAAUUAUUGAAGACGUUUUGGUUAUUUUAUCAUCUUUACAUCUAAAACACUACAAUAGAUGUCACCACACAGUGGUGCAGGAGAUAAUAAGUUUCUCCAUGAAUUGUGGAGUCCUGAGUUCAAAACCCACUUUUGCUUACAUUCAGCUGUUGUUACUGUUUCCAGCAAAACACCACCUAAAAUGCUUAUAAAAAUGACUUAGCUCAAGUUUUUAUUUAUUCAUUCAUUUAAUUAUUUUAAUCACAUAAACCAAAGCUCUUAAUAUAACCUGUCCAAAACAACCGUUAACACACCUGUUCCAGUGGCUCAAGACGCAGAGUGUUGUGUUGGGAUCAUUGAGUUCUGAGUUCAAGCCCAACUAUUGCUUACGUUAAAGCUCAUGUAUUGCAUUAUAUCCAACAAAGUGGAGCAAACGCAAGCUUUCAAUAUGAAAGCCAGUGUGGCACUAAUGGCUAAACACAUGUUACUCACAAUCAGGACUGCAGUGGUGUGACGGGU